UACGGAGGGUGCGAGCGUUGUCCGGAAUCACUGGGCGUAAAGGGCGCGUAGGUGGCCUGUGGAAGUCUGCGGUGAAAGCCCGGCGCUCAACGCCGGGUCGGCCGUGGAUACUCUCGGGCUUGAGCUUACUAGAGGCAGAUGGAAUUCCGGGUGGAGUGGUGAAAUGCGUAGAGAUCCGGAGGAACACCAAAGGCGAAGGCAGUGCCCUGGGGAGUACCGUGACG
rnacentral:rRNA from 1 species